rnacentral:rRNA from 1 species
GACGAACGCUGGCGGCGUGCUUAACACAUGCAAGUCGAGCGGUAAGGCCCUUUCGGGGGUACACGAGCGGCGAACGGGUGAGUAACACGUGGGUGACCUGCCUUUAGCUCUGGGAUAAGCCCUGGGAAACCGGGUCUAAUACCGGAUAUGACCCUAUGGCGCAUGUUGUGGGGUGGAAAGCCUUGUGCGGCUAGGGGAUGGGCCCGNGGCCUAUCGAGCUUGUUGGUGGGGUNAUGGCCUACCGAAGGCGACGACGGGUAGCCGGCCUGAGAGGGCGACCGGCCACACU